rnacentral:lncRNA from 1 species
GUUGAUUGGUGGUUGAUGUCAGUAGGGAUUUUGGGAGAUUUUAGAGGAUUUUUAAUUUGGGGAGAUGAGAUUACUGAUUAGGGAUUUAAGAUUAGUGGGUUAAGAAUUUUAAAGGAUUUUAAAUUUAGGGUUACUGGUGUGUGGUGGUUGUUGUGUGUUUUUUGUUUUUAGGAAUUUGGAUGUUUAGGUUUUUUAUUAAAUUAUUUUUAGUUUUUAGGAUUGGAUUGGGUUUAUAAAUUAUAUCGGAUUGGGUUUAUACUGGGUAGGACUUAGGAGUGCUGGGGUGGGCCGAUGGUUGGGGCUUGGGUAGGCAGUGGGCUAAGCCUAAAACAUUAAUACAUAAUAUCAAUUAUUAAGUUCAGUUAAUUCGGUUAAUUACCUGAUUUUGAACUGAAUUAAUCGAUAACCGAACUUUCAAAAAAUAUUAACCGACCUCUGACCA